GACGAACGCUGGCGGCGUGCCUAAUACAUGCAAGUCGAACGCUUUUUCUUUCACCGGAGCUUGCUCCACCGAAAGAAAAAGAGUGGCGAACGGGUGAGUAACACGUGGGUAACCUGCCCAUCAGAAGGGGAUAACACUUGGAAACAGGUGCUAAUACCGUAUAACACUAUUUUCCGCAUGGAAGAAAGUUGAAAGGCACUUUUGCGUCACUGAUGGAUGGACCCGCGGUGCAUUAGCUAGUUGGUGAGGUAACGGCUCACCAAGGCAACGAUGCAUAGCCGACCUGAGAGGGUGAUCGGCCACACUGGGACUGAGACACGGCCCAGACUCCUACGGGAAGCAGCAGUAGGGAAUCUUCGGCAAUGGACGAAAGUCUGACCGAGCAACGCCGCGUGAGUGAAGAAGGUUUUCGGAUCGUAAAACUCUGUUGUUAGAGAAGAACAAGGAUGAGAGUAAAACGUUCAUCCCUUGACGGUAUCUAACCAGAAAGCCACGGCUAACUACGUGCCAGCCGCCGCAGUAA
rnacentral:rRNA from 1 species